ACUUCCUGCUUGCUUAUCCUAUAUAAGCCCUAGACCACCAGAGAUCAGGGUCUGAUAUUUUGGGAAUGAUCUCAAUCAAUAUCUGUCAAUCAAGGUUGAAUCCAGACCAAAAGAAAUUAAAUGAAGCAAAACAGACACUACCUUCUUCUAAAGUCUGCAACUCAGAAUGAAGAUUUAACAAGAAAGACUCCUAAUGUGUGCAGUGACUUAGCAACAACUUUCAAGAAGCAGAAAGCAUAGGAGAUGACAGGAAAAAUAUACAGAGCUACUACUUAAAAAAAAAAA